ensembl:snoRNA SNORA70 Small nucleolar RNA SNORA70
CUGCAGCCAAUUAAGCCGAAUGUGCUCUUUCCCCGUGGGGCCCAGUGUGCGAUGGCUGCAAACAGCACCCUCCCUGGUAAUAUAUUGCAGCCUGUUGCCUGUAUGAGUUGCCUUAAGGGACCUUGGAGAUAGUG